rnacentral:tRNA from 1 species
AUGGGUAUAACUCAGUGGUAGAGCAUAUGCUUAGCAUGCAUGAGAUCGUGGGUUCAAUCCCAACUACCUCUA